UAAAGGGCCAGCGGCCCGGGGGAGCGGCCCGGGGGGCUCGGGCUCGGCGGGGUCCAGCUGGUGGGCUCGGUUCGGGCUGCCUGGUUCCGUUCGGUUUUCAGUGCGAGCCUCGAGGGGGCAUCACCGGGUAGAGCCAGAGCAGCCGCCCCCGCAGUCCCCGGGGAAGGUCAGGAAGAUGUGUGAACUUGCAGCAACCUGCAUUGGAAACUGGAGCCUUUAUCCACCAAAGCUCUGCAAACUUGUAAAAACUCCCCCUGGAACAAGAGCACUGAUUAACAGGGUGAGGGCAGAUGCCUUUUCCCCUCUCCAGAGCCAGCUCUUCCACAGCUCAGCCUGGGCACUGAUUUGUCCCAGCCUGGGCUUGCUCAGCCGUCAGGGCUGGUUGGGUCUCUGAGAUGCCUCCACCAAAGCUCCUGCUGCACGUCCCACCUGCCAACAGGCCUCCAGCCAUGCCCUUCCAUGUGCCACCCCAGCUUCCAUUCCCUGGGCCUGGGGGUGAUGCUGUGCCCAGUGCCCAGCUGUGAAAAGCAAGAGACCAUGGAGCAGGACUCUGUAACCCACCACUCAAGGAACUGACCUGCUGCAGAAGAACACUCUGUUACUUAAAGCUGCAUUUACUUGCUUAAGACCAUUUAAGGAUGUGCCAUGACUGUGUCUUAACAUAUAAGAAUUCUGACUCAAACACAAACUAUGGCCUCAUCCCUGCAGCUGAUGGCCUUGGAGGGCUUGGCAGGGGUGGCAGGGCUGGUGCUGGCAGGCUGCUGCCUGCUGGUAUCUCACCAAACACCAGGAAGUCUGUAGUGUUCACCUUAUUUAUGGGGUGCUAUGUUUUUUAAGUGUGAAGGACUUUUAGUUGCAAGCUGGUAGGGUCAGCUUAGCUUACAGUCACCUUUACUGGCCAGUCAAGCAAGGUCCAUUGGAAAAGUGUAUCUAAUACUCAGCUGUUAAGUGUUUUAUAUAUAUAUUUCCAGCUCAAUAACAAUAAAAGCGGGUUGAUUGAUAAAGCUA